rnacentral:lncRNA from 1 species
AUGCUGGAGGACAACAACCUCAAGACAAAAGAGGCACCAAGGAAACUUCCUGUUUCCUCUAUAAUUGCAAGGAAGAAACAUGGUGGAUCCACUAGAGGUAUUAUGUUCAGUGGUCAUAGGAGAGACUAUCCAACAAAUAGUAUCUUUUAUUCAGAAUCACAGGAGCAGAAGCAUGUCAAGGAGGAGACUCAUCGUCUGCGGCAGCUUCUCGUCGAAAUUCACACCGCUCUGGAGGCAGCCAAGGGGUGUGCCAUCACCAAUUCAUGGCUACUACGCUGGCUACGCGAGCUUGAGGACGCCGCAUGUCGAGGCGAUCAGACACUGCGCAACUGGAGAGAUAUGUCCAGCAAGGUGAGCUCCAUCAUCGAUUCUAGUAACUCCUUCAAACGCAUCAAGAUCGCAGCAUCGCAGCUGAUUCCAUCCAAGGAAUCCACCAUGAAAGUUUCUGCCACUGUCAAGAAGCUAGAAGCAGUAGCUUCUGGGAUCCCCAAGUUCACUCAGCUUCUCAGCUUGCAGAAUGACCAAGCAGUGUUACAUCAUCGACCGGUUAUCAUCUUUGUUUCGAUCCAUGACAGGGUAGUUGGCAGAGUCGAUGAGAGGAAACAGGCCAUCGAAUUCUUGCUUCACAUAGACAAGAAUGGAUCAUCCUCUCCAGAUGGCUGUGUGCUUCCCAUUUGGGGUGUCAAAGGAGUAGGUAAAACCACGAUUGCGCGGCUCGUAUGCGACGAUCGCAAGGUGAGGAGCCAUUUCUCAAUGAUAAUAUGGGUGAAUUGCAGAGAAUAUACUAGUCCAGCCAUGGCCUUGGUAAAGUCAUUGUGCAAGAAGCUUGGUUUGAGUUCUAACGUAACCAUUAAUCUUUCAAGUGUGAUCCAUGGGAUAUCAGAAAGGCUAAGAAUGGAGAGAUUUCUACUUGUUCUUGAUGGUGCUUCUAGCUACCCCAGGGGAAUGAAUGGCAUACUCGAUACACUGUUCAUGAAAAGUAGAGCAGGAAGCAAGGCCAUCAUUACCACUAUGUACCAACAUCUGGCAACUAAGAUCAAUAAGCAUGAAAACUUACCUGUAGGGUUCCUGGCAAUGGAAGAUCUCGGCUGCAUGUUCAUGGAAAAUGCCCUGGGUGGUGCACACCCUGAAGAAUACCAGAAAUUACUUGUUAUUGGAAAGAAGAUCGCUGUGACAUUGAGGGUGUGCAGCCCUUUAGCUGCAAAAGUUGUGAGUGGACUGCUUCGAGAAAACCUCAAUGAGAAGUACUGGUACAUUGUUCUGAAUCGCUGUCAGCAGUUCGUCGCAUCCAGUUCCAGGUUUGUUACUCCAUUUAUUCUGGGUUCUUCUUCCCAAACACCUGCAACGCUGCUUUGGGGUGUUGGGUACAUACCCUCGCUGGACCUUCACAAGGGAGGAAUGAUAAGCUAUUGGAUGAACAACUGUGUCGUCGUCAGUGAAAAUUGUAUGAAAAAUAGCAUAGAGAAUGUUGCGACUGAUUACUUUGAUGAUUUGGUGAGGAAGGCAUUCAUACAACCAUCCCACAUCCCAGGGCUGUACAAAGUGGAUGACAUGCUAAGAGACAUAGCUCUGUACAUAGGUCCAAUGCCUGUUCCAAAAACAAGAAUACAUUUAGCGAAUUUGAUUGGGGAAGGAUUUUCCAUCCACGAAAGGGUAACACUCAAUCCUAGCCAUCCAUUUUUCUCACCUCAUUUUACCCUAACCAUCCAUUCAUUUCCAUGUCCCAAUCCCACCUCUCAUAACCCAUUUGCGAAACAGGGCUAAAAAGGUUACU